GUCUACGGCCAUACCACCCUGAACGCGCCCGAUCUCGUCUGAUCUCGGAAGCUAAGGGGGUCGGGCCUGGUUAGUACUUGGAUAGGAGAUCAAUUUCUAGUGUUUUGUUCCACAGACA
ensembl:rRNA 5S_rRNA 5S ribosomal RNA